rnacentral:rRNA from 1 species
CUUGGAGUGGGAAUAACAGCUGGAAACAGCUGCUAAUACCGCAUAAUAUAUCUGGGUCGCAUGGCUCUGGAUAUCAAAGAUUUAUCGCUCUGAGAUGGACUCGCGUCUGAUUAGCUAGUUGGUGGGGCAACGGCCCACCAAGGCGACGAUCAGUAGCCGGACUGAGAGGUUGGCCGGCCACAUUGGGACUGAGACACGGCCCAGACUCCUACGGAAGGCAGCAG